ACCUUGUAAGUGUUCACACUGUGACAAGAGAUUCAGUCACGAGAGGAUUCACACUGGAGAAAAAAACGUAUCACUGCACUGACUGUGGAAAGUGUUUUGAUCAUUCAUCUGCUCUACACUGACAUACAAAAAACAUUCACACAGAUUCAACUGAGAUUCAGAUCAACUCAAAGAUAGAGUUCCUCGUCAAAGAACAAUGUCAAAAUGUUUUAUCAGUUUGCUUCAUCAUUGUAUUUUCUUAUGAGUUUCAUAUUAUGUUCAAUUGUCUUAUUAUGCAUGUGUCACUUCUAGUUUGCUGUCUCUUUUAUGAAGAAAAGUAGAAGUUUUUCACAAACUGUUCUUGUUCGGGCAGCUGAAGAGGCUGUAUCACUUUUAAGAGAGCUGAGAUUUUUUUUUAAUUGUUUUUUCUUUUUUACCUUUUUCUUCACUGUUGUUUUUUUUAAAUUACUAGUUAUUCUUCCACAUAUGAUGUAUUCGGAAAACCCAGAUGCAAGAUAUAUGACAUGUAGCUUUGCAACUGUUCCUUAUUUUCUUCUCUUGUAAGAAGGGAUGGGUAUCUGAACCUGGCAUUAAACAAGCCCUGGGGCUAAAAUCUGA